AACGUGCCCAGUAGGGGGGGAUAACUACGCGAAAGCGUGGGUAAUACCGCAUACGCCCUUAUGGGGAAAGGCGGGGAUCCUUCGGGACCUGUCACUAUUGGAGCGGCCGAUAUCGGAUUAGCUGGUUGGUGGGGUAAUGGCCUACCAAGGCGACGAUCCGUAGCUGGUUUGAGAGGACGACCAGCCACACUGGGACUGAGACACGGCCCAGACUCCUACGGGAGGCAGCAGUGGGGAAUUUUGGACAAUGGGGGCAACCCUGAUCCAGCCAUCCCGCGUGUGCGAUGAAGGCCUUCGGGUUGUAAAGCACUUUUGGCAGGGAAGAAAUUGCCUGGGUUAAUAGCCUGGGCCGAUGACGGUACCUGCAGAAUAAGCACCUGCUAACUACGUGCCAGCAGCCGCGGUAAUACGUAGGGUGCGAGCGUUAAUCGGAAUUACUGGCCGUAAUGCGUGCGCAGGCGGUUCGGAAAGAGAGAUGUGAAAUCCCAGGGCUCAACCUUGGAACUGCAUUUUUAACUACCGGGCUAGAGUGUGUCAGAGGGGGGUGGAAUUCCGCGUGUAGCAGUGAAAUGCGUAGAGAUGCGGAGGAACACCGAUGGCGAAGGCAGCCCCCUGGGAUAACACUGACGCUCAUGC
rnacentral:rRNA from 1 species